CGUUCAGACAAUAUUUUCCAUUUGUUAAAUGGAAUUUUUUUAAAAAGCCUGAAGAGUACCAAGCAAUUAAAAGAAUCAAACCUGAUUCCCAACAUCUGUCCAGUCACAUUUGAAUGUUCCUGGGUUUCCUCAUCAGCGAACAGAAUGAGAUUAAGGGAUUGUACUCAUUGAGCCAAGCGCAGUGCUCACUUUGAAAAGAAUGAAGACUCAACAGGUAAUUACUUCACCUGGUAUUGACACUGGACAUCCACUUGCCAAUCUGAAGUAAGAUACCUGAGUUUUCUCAGUUGUUUGUCUGGCAAUAUUAAACAAGGCACUCACCUUAGCGUCCCAAAUUAAUACCUGUGUACUUUGUGGAUUCCUCCUGCAGGUCCUCCGGCAGCAGGAGGGGGGUAGAGUGAUUACAUAAUAGCCAUGACAUGCUAUGCGGUGUAAUUACUGACUGCAUUUUACUGCUAGUUAUGAAGUGGUAACGUGUUUCGGUCUUUACUUCCAUCACGCUGGGUAGAGAACGUCCCUCCGCUUCUAGGAAAGCUGUGACCGCCGAUGGAUUUGACUGAAUUUUGGGAGGAUCACUGAUGACAGAACAUAUUUGCUGCUUUGGGUCAAUAAAAGAAUAUAAUACACAUAUCGGCAGAGCGGGCGCUGGUCCUCAAUGGUUUCUUGGAUGUGGAGAAAACCACCUAAUUCAAUGCAGACACAUGAGACAAUAUAAGCACACUUUGUUAUACCAAAACGGACUCUUAUGAGACACUAAAUAUACUUUAGUUAGAAUAGAUAGGCUGUUAGUUCAGUGACACUCGUAAACCGCACCAUCCCUCCUCUCAAUGAGACUUUGGUGUGCCAUCCAUUUCGGAAUUGAUACGAUCUCCUGCUGUUUGUUUGUAUUUCAGAGCUGUCCUAUAUACCUAAGAGAGUGUUUUCUCUCAAACUCCAAAAUGAGAUCAAAACAAUAUAAAACACACAAUCCCAGAGCCAGUGGUCCAGAAAUGCAAUAACAUGUUGUUUUUUUCUUCUCAUUCCAGCAUUAAUGAAGUUCAUUCGUAACAGUUUAGUUUAAUUCCCACAAAUUGAAAGAUGGGCUCUCCAUUAGCAGCAGUGAACAAGUACGACUUCAUUACUACAAGUAGAACUGUGCAUCAUAAAAAUCUUAUUAAAAAUUGCCUUUCCAAAUUGCCAUAUUACUUUCUUUAUGGGGUAAUUUCCAUACUACAUGCAGUAAUAGAAUAUUUUCUUUACCCUCUAGUGCAUAUUAAACUCACUUAUCAUCCCCUAUAAACUCAACGCAUUGUGAAUUUAAUGGGGAAAUAGGAAAAGUUGUUUCCCAUCUUUCCCUGGAAAAUAUAUUUACAAUCCAAAAUUGACAUUGGCAUAUGCUUUAGAGAUGCAAAUAGCCAUUAAGCAGAUAGUCACAACAUAUUCUGUCCCUUCUCAUUAGAAAGCAGCGCCUAUGACAAUGAGUUAAACACAGGAAUGACGUACAAUGGAUUAAAAGAGAGUCCAUGACUUUAAAGUAUAGGUCAAGGUUGGAUGGAUGAAGCAAGGAGUCAAAUACGCCAAUAAUUAAGUGAUAAAUGAUUCAACUCUGAUUAGAAAUAUUGCAAUUUUUCAGUGUUGUCAGUGGAGCAAAGGCAUCAGCACAAUGGACUAGUUACUGCCUUUUUCAUAAUUGAGACUAGACCUUCUAGCUGUGCCCCACAGCUCAUCAUUAAUCAAGUUGAAUGAAGCCGAGGCGAUGUGACACGUCGGAUGGUGAAGGCGCUUUUUUAGGUAUUCAGGCGAACCAGAGAAUCAUUUGUUCACUCUUCAAGCACCCAACGGUUUUCUGCUUGUGUUCAAUGAUAUCUGCUUAGCUUAUUAUCUUUAAUUUAUAGUGUAGUUUUGCUCAAUUGGAUGUUUUGCAGUGUGAAUGUGAUGUAUAACGUCUUUAAAUUAGCAAAGGACAAAUUCUCUUUUGGGUCUAUUAUUGGACUACUGUGUAUUGAAAACUAACGCUUUGCAACAUCUAAUUCCCGGUCCUACUAAAACAUUUACACAUCAUCUCAAACCUCACCUUACAUUUUAAUACAACUCCAACUGUUAGUUUUAGUUUAACUUUGAGCACAUAAAACCCAGUAAAUCUUCAGGUUGACAGUGACAGGCUGUCCUAACUGGCUUGUCACAAAACAAUCAAUAGGUUGGUGUAGAGGCAAAGCCCAUUAUUGUUGAGAAAGAUGUUCAUUAAUUAUGUCAUUUAAUUGGAUUUAGGCAGGUGCACAAUGAACACCUCAGCCAGGGUGGUCAAUGGUGGGAAAGGCCUGAGCGUCACUUCUCUCUUUUUCUAUUAGAAACCAGCAUGGCCCCCUGUCUCCUCGAAUCGCUGUGCUUUUUAUUGAUUAAUGACCCUAAUUUAUUAUCGAGAAGGCUGUGAGUUGCGCUAAAUGUUCUAUUAAUCAACUUUCGGCAUCAAGUUAUGAGGGUCUGCGUUGAAAAUGCCACCAGGAACGCAGGAGGCCAAGUGGCUGUUUUCCCUCGGCUCCUGUCGCAAGAAGUCAGAGGUGCUGAUUUUUAACGGGAGUUAAGAGUCUUUCGUGGCUCUAAUACCGGCUGUCCCGAGUGACGAAUGUCCUUGCGAGGAACGGAACAUAAUGCCGUUUGAUGGAGCGACCGCCACGUUCCUUCCACGAGAAUAAUGAAACACCCGUUCACACCCUCAACGACCAUCUAUUCAUUUGAGAACAGGAGCGAGAAAAUGCCGGCAGCUCCGAAUAUAUCACAGAUAGAUCAACAAUAUUAUAUUACGCUGAAAACAGAUGAGAGGUUAAAGGACUGGAGGCAAAGCUACAAUGAAUCCCAACCCUCGCAUGUCUGUGCAGGGCUAUUAUUUCCCGUUGAGUGAAGACAUUUAUGACACUUUAAACUCAGCUUUGUACAAACUACAAUUGAUCAUAAUUUCUGAAUACUUUGCCGAACAUCCUCCAGCUGGUAGUUACUCCAAAUGCAUUUGAACCCUUCAAAAGUACUCUUUUUUCUGCAGCCGUGUUUUGAUGUAUUUUUUGAAGGAUUUUACAAUUAACCUCUUAAGCACGCUGGAAGUCAGUGCCACUUAAAUUGUCCCUAAUUUAACUGUGAAGGUUAUAACUAGAAAUCGGUCCACAUACUUGUUAUUUUUUAUUGAAUUAAUGUAGAAUUAAACUCGCUGUACUAAGUUACAAGUUAACGCGAGCAAAUGUUUUUUCCUUUCAGUUUUCCAUUCUAAUUAAUUGGGUUUUUUUGCUUCCUUUCCAACAUUUUUUUGGGAAUUUCCAAACUUUUUGCUGAUAUUAAAUGAUAUUAAAUGUAAAUGAUAUUUACAGCUUAUUUGAUUAUGAGACCAACUGUUAGUUGCCGCCGUAGCUGUGUCAAAUCUAUAGAAAAAUAUCACAAUUCAAAGCCUGACGGACUGCUGCUUGCUACUGUAAUCAAUUACGCCUCUUGGGGUAAAAGCUUGAGGUUAAAGGUAAUUGUAAACACGCUGCUAUCUAGCUCGGAUCGGGAUGUAUUUUCCCUCGGGGCGAGGCCCCGGUGUCACAGGCUGAAACAGGGUCACAGGAAGCGUGGAAGCAGUCAGGAAUCACAGGGGAAAUGUAAACAACGUUCCCAAAAUGGCUCCAACAUGACAGGAAACAAGCAGAUCCUCCAAAUGACGUCGACCCAUUUGAUUUUUUUUCCCUUUUUUUCCCCCUCCCCCCUCUGCUUUCAAAGGACGGCAACCUUCGAGCUGAUUUUUAAUUUCAUGCGCAGCGCUGACGUUCACAGCGCUGGCAGGUGUGCCUGACUCUCCGAGGUUUGCCCUGCGGCACGCAUGGCUGAGCCGCGAAAAAAAAAGCAAUGUCCCAUGAUGAUCAGGGACAAUCCGCUGGUUUGUCAAAACCUGGCAGAAUCUCCGGCUCCGGCAACAGCACCUUGUUAGAUUGAGGUGCUCAAUCAGGGGAGUGCUGGAGUGCCCGGCCAGGUUGAGAGUGGUGAUUACCGGUGCACGGCUGUCCAAAGCCGCUGAAACGCUCCGCCUCUCCACAGGAGGCCCUCUGACAUUCAAGCCUGCAUUUUCUGAAUCAGUCUUGAGUGAUUAGGGCAGCGACAGGCAAAAGGACAGAUCAAACAAUUAUUCCUCUCUAUCCUUUUGACGUGUGGCAGAGCAGGAAGAGCUGCAGCCCUCGCUGUCGACCGCGUGCUAAAUCUGCCCUAAUAGAGAGGACAUUCAGGUGUUUGUUUUAUUCUUUCAAAAAAUGCUGCUUUUGUCAUUUUAUUAAAUAAACGGUUCGUCUUUUGAAGGGAAAGGUCGUCCUUUUUUUAAUAGAAAACAUAAAGCUGAACAAAUAGUGAAAGAAAACCACUAAUCAAUGUGAUUCUUUGACAAGCAGAACUGUUGUGCUUUAAAAGCAUUGUGCCAAAGCAACACGCCACUAAUAUUUUUGUAUCAUAGAAGCCCACUCACAGGCAUUAGCAAAAGUAGGAAUGUGCUUUUGCAGUCAUUUGUGUCUGUUUGUAUAAACCUGCAGGCUUCACGAUAAAACUGCAUGACCGCAGAGAUCAACAAAAAACAAAACAGCACCCACAUCUCGCAGCAUUUUCAAUCAUAUUUACAUCAUAUUUAACUGCACAGUAGGCGGUUUUGUUGUUUGCCGCCGCGCCGUCGACGCUGCCGGGACCCACAGCGGUAAAAAUGCAAUCGGCGCGAAACAGAGUGAAGGCAGUACAGCGUGCUUCGGAGCACAAGAGGGCAGUGUAAAAUCCCUCCGCCAGCCGCCCGGCCCACCAACUCGCCGCCCACCUGAAACAACAGCCGUAAAAAAAGGAAAAAAAAAACGGUUGUAGGCCGCCAAUCUCCAAUGGCUGUUUUCCUCAGUGAAGUGCAGGCCCGAGAUCUGAUUACAGAGGGGAAACGAGACCACAGUCUGCUUACCGGGGACGGGGUGACAGUUUUGCGUGACCGUUCAGCGGGGAUUCCCCUUUCAUCUUGGUGGAGAGCGCUAUCCAUCUGCGCGAGUGUGCGUUUUCAGACGAGACAACAAACAGAAUCGGCAAAUUAAUAAAAAGAAAUACAAAAAUGAGCGAGAUAACCUUGCGUCGUCUCGGCUUCGCUGGCUCUGAGCAGAUUAUCAAAGAGGAGGUUGUGGGAAGUGAGUUGAAUAAUGUAAAAUUCAGGGAACUUUCAGUGAAUGAGUUGUUUGCUCUCUUUGUGGAGGAGAUGAAACGCGAAUUGCACCUCGUUGCUGUUGAAAAUAACUUGGAACAUCAACAUUAUCUUUCAUUCAGAGCUGAGAAAUGUUGCAGAAACCCAAAUGGCUGCCAGCAGAGCAUUUGGGUGAACUAAUCCUUGGAGGAAAUUAUAUGCUGUACAGGUUUAAUCACACGGAUAAAGAAACUAUAAUCCAAAGAGUUUUAGCUGCUAUAAAAUGUCACAUGAAGAUCGUCAUCAGCAAAAAAAACACUAAAUCAUCCAACUAGAAAGAAGCAUGAAAAGAAAUGUGCACAUGGAUUCUUUUAUAUUUUGAAAGAGCAUACAUACGUUUCCUGUAGGUGUGAUAGUGUGUGUGUGUGUGUGUGUGUGUGUGUGUGUGUGUGUGUGUGUGUGUGUGUUUGUGUGUGUGUGUGUGAGCGUGAUAUUUCGGUUGUAGCCUUUCAGAAAGUGGCCUACUUCAAAGGCUCAGGGAUUAGAGGCUUUUUUUUUCAUCCCAUAAUUAAUAUGACGGAGGAGAAGGCGACAGCACCUGUAAACUGGACGGGGCCGCCGGUAUCCUACUGUGGCCAGAGAGCACCCCACUACCCACAAUGCACCACAUGCCGACUCCUUCAAAGACACAAUACCAUGUUAACCACAUGUCUUCAUUCGAUAGGCUUAAGGCUAUCUUUGUUUGGUUCAUGUCGGGUGUUUGAAGACCAAAACAAAUAAGCACAUGUAUUCGUUCAAAUUAAAAUGAAGAGCCUGGCUUUCGCGUUUCUGGUUUAAAUAUAUUUGGGGGAAAUUAUUGACGUUUUUUUCAAGCCUGAUCAACCGCGUUUUCAGUUUUGGGGAUAAAAUCUGUUGCCAACGCUGAAACUAUGAAACCAUGUAUCAUUUUUUUUAACUUUGGCUCAAACCAAAAAAUGGUUUUGUAUUAUUUUGUUGCUUAGGCAACAACAAUAUUUUAAAAAGAUCUAUUUUAAGCACAUUGAUGACAUAUAGGCCCAUACAGGCGGUUCUACGUAUAUAUGCUGUACUGUAAUCUGAAUUUGACAUUUCCUCCUCUAGUUAUCCCGAGUCCACAAACAGGUGAAAGGUUGCCUUGCUUUCAGAGGGAAUGCUGAUUUGAAAUUGCCAGCAGUUGCUUUGGAGAAUUCCCUGGUUGCUUUGAAGUGUGCACCCCACUGAGUGUCCUAACUUUGACACAGAGGGCCAUGGCUGCGGCUAUUUAUACAUCUUGUGGGAGAAUAGGUCUUCCCCCACGUAACAGACUAUAUUCUUUUCUCCCUCUAAAGCCAUCCUGAAAAUACAGCCAUGCCGCAGAAUUUGGUGUUGGUUGGUUGGGUUAGUGUGAUAAUUGAAAGAAGUAGUCUGAAGAAGUGUCUGGCCUCGUUUGGAUCUCUGUGUUGUUGUUUAACGUUGUUAUUUUUACUGUUGUUGAGGAUUGUGGCUGCCUCCCUGGCGACUUCUAUAUAGUAAAGUAACGGGGUCACAGUCAGAGAGUCCAAACCAAUGCAUCUCUCACAAUUCUCACAGUCUAUUGAUUCUCCCUCUGAAAUUUAUGUUGCUUUUCAGUGGGACCCCCUGCUGUGGCCCUCACAGCCUCCCCCCACAGGAGGGUCACGGUGACACAAGAGUGUUGGGCCAGAUGCCGAGUGAUCCCCUCUGAUGCACCUCCACAUCUAAAAGCCACAUCCAUCGCCGAUGUAAGACGAUCAGCCGAGAAAUACCGCACGCCGAACCUGAAUCUCCAGCACUGCCCGCUCUCCUGCUUGCCGUUUUUUUUUCUUUUUCCUUUAAUUCUAUCAAACAACAGCAAGUGUAAAUCUCCGGAGCAAAUGCUUGGAGAAAAUUUUAAAAAAAGAUGGGGGAAGAAGUGGGGACGAUGAAGAGGGCGAAAACAGAAAGAAAGAAAAAAAAAACACACACACACACACAAGCGGAGAACAAAAUAGUCCAGCUGGUCCACCUUUGCCACUGGAAGUCACCCCGUGUUUUUGUCAGGGUGCGUGUGAACAAAACGGCCUUUGAAGUUGUGUUACAGCACUGUACUGUGGCAUCACUACGGCCACUACUAAGCCCCUGCAAAAAUGCGCUGGGUGGUUAUAGAAAAUGCUGUAGAAUCCAGUCAUAAAUCAACUAAAUUUUCAUGCAAAUCGCCUCCUCCAUGGGGCAGUAAUGUAGUGUGUAUAGCAGCAUCAAUAGUGCAUAAAAGGCACCGUUUGGCACUUAAAAGAGAAAUCAUUGAGACAUCACAGACCAAAUGCACACACAACCUUCAAGGUCAAACACUGCGAAAUAAUGAAACCCUGACACACAGAGAGAGAGAGACACACACACACACACAGACACACAAUUGGGAGGUACAACAAGACUGGAGAGUCGUUAAGGCUUUUAUCUUCUGCUUGAAGGAGAAAGAUCCACCCGACAUCCCAGAGGGUACUGAUCAAUCACGGCCUGACUGGUUCAAACUGUUUGUGCUGGAUUCCACAUCUAUCACCAUCCGAUGGAGCUCUGUGUCCGACUACAGCAGCCCCGGAAAAAAAAGAGAGCACUUUCAAUUAGGGCAUGGCGAAAUAGAUUCACACCACUUGAUUUAUAGUGCACGACUAAUUACACAAGCCUUUUUUUUCUGCCUAAUGCAGACGGAGCUGAGACUUAGCCUUGUACCUAAGGAGGUUAUUGUCUUACGGUAGUUUCCAUGUCCUUUAGAACGGCUCAUGAUAAUGACAUGAAGGAUAACAACGGACUCAGCCGCUUUGAUGUUUGAGAGUAGAGCAUCGGGGUUUUUUUCUUAAUAACGUCAAGUAUUUUAUCUAAUCACGGAAGACGCCGUGAUUUAAAGAGUUCAUUUCCCAGCCAUGUUUUUUAAGACGAAGACAUGUGAUGCGAAGCAGACGUUAAGGAUCGGGCCUGCAAUAUACUUUCAAUUUCAAUCACGGCUUUUCUGCACUACGCAUAAGUGUAAGAUUAUGUCAUUUACUUAAAUGUUGCCACAAGCCUGUACCUCAGGGGUGGAUAGGAAGGCUUAACAAUAGGUACAAGCUACAGGCAGAGCACUGGGGUACGCUGCAGCUCAUGAAUAUCAUUAGCUGUGAGCUGAAUUUGUAUUACUUUGGGAUUACAUCUAAACCUGCAACGCAACCUGAUUGUAAUUGCGAACUGAAAAUAUGUAAUAUAAUCGUAUGUAAAGCAAAUGUAAAAAUACAAAUCAUGUUGUUGCAUUGAGAACCAUCCCUGUUGGUCGGUUCUUGUAAAGAGGUCAGGGAGUCUGGAUGCUCUUUAUUCUUUCUUUUUUUUUCACAGGGCCAUUUAUAAAGUAUGAUUCACUGCCGUUCGUAAUGAAAACACAUAAAGAAGCAAGACGUGUGAGAUGUCUUCAUUGCCUCAGUACAAACACCCUGAAGGCUUUUUUCACUCCUUUUCAGGUGAAUAGAAGCAAAAGAAACCUCCAUGCUCCUUAGUUUUACAAUGAAAUGUACCAGAUGGCUUUUACAACUUCAUUUAUCCGCUAAGCACACAAUUAUCCACCUACAACAUUUCCACACUAGUAUUUAACUCUCUGUAAUCAGUGCUAUCGGGGGACGGUUGAUCAUGAAUUUAGUCCUCCUAUGUACCUUAAACAAAAUCAUCUGAUAAUGAAGGAGUUCUCGUGUUUGAACACCCCCCUCUCCCAAAGACACUGGAUCCCACAGUAGCAGAGGUGGCGUAGAUGGGUGUCAAGCUGGGAAUUUAGACACAUUUCCCUUCAACAAGCCUCAAAGAAUUACACAAUCUCCCUCGAGACGGUCUACGCCUCCCUAUAGGUGCUACAUCUAAGACGAGAGGUGGUGUGAGAUGGUGACGAGCGAACAUGAUUUCAUUAAGAACCCGACUUGUUGCACCAGGCUCUUGAUCGUGAUUAGAUCUUCCGACACUGAAAUAUUAUUAGCCAAUCAUUUUGUGCAAUAUGGCAAGUGUGCUUUCAACUCAAGAACUAACAAUGUGAUUCCUGAACAUUCAAGUUGUUGAAAACCGAUUCCACCAAUUGUAACAAUUUGGCGAUUUUGUUUGAAUCCUCAAAGAAAACCUUUUGAGAAAAAUGCUGGAUCAAAAACAGGAACUUGAGCAACUCGAGUUUGAAUGAACGUCACCGUGGGGCGAUGUAGUAAAAAGAUUCGGAUUAAAAACCCCGACAGUGACACGAGGUUCCACUCAGACGGAAUUUGAGAGCUGCUGAUCAACCCCCAGUUAAGGCCAAGCAAGCAGGACGGAAGGUGUCAGUUCAGAGCUUAGCUGGAGGCAUAAACGCCACACUCCUCCUUAAGCAAGAUGAAAGAAUGUUCCGCUUGACACAAACCCGCCUGAACACUUUGACGGAUGUGAUGGACCAACCCCCUCCACCACCCCCCGCCCCAAAAGACGCGUAGCGACGGCAGAUGAUCUGCUCCAGGUAAGCAGCAUCAUGCGUUUUCAAAGUGCUUUACUCGUUGAAAGAGGUUGAUUUCAAAGUCACUGCUAGUCUGCAGCUCGACAGAUUUCCUGCCCAUUCGGAUGUCUGGCAAAGUCACGGAUGUCUUGGAGGCACAGGUGAUAAUGGGGCCUUAAUCGCCACGCCGGUUCUGCUUGUCCCUCUCAAUGUCACAUAUCCGGAUGAAUGUGGUACGUAUCAGCCCAUAGUUGGAAUAGUUUUGUCAGACCAAGGUCCUGGUCACAUGAAGUGGGUGAGAGAUGAAAGGUGCAUCUAAAGCUAGUGUACUGUAUAAUCACCAGGUUAAUGCUAUUGGGAAGUUGCAAAUUUGGAUUAAAAAUAAAGUUGAAAGCAAGCGAGAUGUGAAGGCUUUCUAAACGGAAGGCGGCUGCUUUGAGGGUUUUUAGCAUUUUCGACACAGACAGGUGAUCAGAGUAGAAGUGUAGAGAUCCAGUCUUUGGUCAAUGGGAGUUUUUGUUUAAAACGUCACUGUAAAGUAACACAGAUGACAACAAAUUACUCAUUUUUGUUUGAACCCCCCCCCUCCCUUUUUUUUAAGACAUAAAUCAACAAAAGCAAGUCUCCCAAGACGAUGCUUUGGUGAGGAAGGUUCUUGGCAGAGACACGGUGCCCCCUUCCCUCCUCUUACCCUCGACCAUACCGGCUGUACCUCAUCCAGCAAUGCCUUCCCAGCACCCCUGCUGCUCAAUACCGUCUCAUUUGUUAUGUAUCAAACGCAAAUUUCAGCGCAUUGCCCUCACAUAUGCCGCGGUGCCCCAGUGAUGCACUGGCUCCUGUCCAAUCCUCAGCUGAAUAAACACAGGGGCCAUUUGCAGGUUGGCAGACGCUGAGAUGUUUGUCUUUCAAGGCAAUCCGCCUCCCUUUGCUCGUGUUCACCCUUUCCCUCUCGAACGCAAAAGGGAGGGGAAAGCGGCGAGAGUUUCCAACAGAAGACGUCACCGCGACGCGCGACACUUGAGCCGCUGAGAUUGGCCGUCACGGAGUUCCUUGUGUCAUGGGCAAGAUUUCAAAGUUGCGAGAGGAAGAGGAGGAAAAAAACGGCAAACUUUAGAGGACAUUAUAUCAAAGGAUCAAAUAGGACGAAUAGAUGGUUUGGAAUGAUUAAUCACUGUUAUAACAAAUCCAAUCUGCAAACAGGGACGCAGAUUAAAAUAAAAAGUAAAUCUCAAGUUAAUUAAGUAAUUACACAUGUCAGGAAUCCUGACAAUUGAUUACGAUUAUUUUAUCAAAUUCUACAGUAGACCCAACAUUGUCCCGCGGAAGCGAUAUUCUGCGUCGGUUUGGUUGUGAGGGAGUCUGAUUGUGGCCUGGAUUGUGGAUUGUGGUUUUCUCCGGUGGAUCGACGGUUUAGCCACCAAAUGCACUUUGAUUAACUUCAAGGAAAGAUUGUGGAUUGGUUGAAUAGUGAUUUAUGGAGAAAUAUAACGAAUGCCAUUCCCAUCAACCCCAGGCUGAGCAUGUGUGUGAAUUAACACAUGUGAGUCCAGUGGUGCUGCGGUCGCGCUGACGCCGGCCUGUGGGUCACCUUGCAGAGAUUUUAUUCUGUCACUUAAAGGGAAUGAAAUAUGGAGUAAAACAAUGGAUCCCAGGAUAGAAAAAAAUAACCUCUCCAACUAACACGCUAAAACUAAGAUUUAAACAAAAGGUACUUUUUUGCAAUUUUUUGUUUUGUGGAAAGAAUUUUUAAACUCAAGGUUUCAGGGAUGUGUCUGUGUCUCUAAACUCCCCAACCUUUCAAACAGCCCACUGGAAAACACAGGAAGAACAUGAGCGCGGUAAAUGCAGCUCAGUCCAACCUCCCGGAAAAAUGGUAACAAGAAAACACAAAAACCUAAAACCCUAAAACAAAUGCUACUCUGAAAACACUGUCCUAUUGUGUAUUCAUGACCCGGCUCUUCUUUGGAAUGGCCUUUCAACGACACAAAAGCAAGCGGGGUCUGCUGUUUCUGCCGGUUUAAACAAAUAACAAUGAUGCAACAGGAGUGCUUCCAGUGAAUGUGAAAUACACUGUUGAAUUACCCACAAUGGUUUGCUACGCAUCACAACAGCCAGGACAGGCUCAAUAUUAACAUUUCCUUUUGACGUGUGGCAAAAGGUUUUCUUUAACCCAUGGAGGUUGAAUGGGAAUCAGCGGAUAAUAAGAAAUUAAAAGGUAAAGAGGACACGGGGGAAAGAGUGAGGGAGAAAGCCAAAUCCCAGCCCCAGGGCUUAAUGUAAGAACACAAUGGCCGCCAAGGCAGUAAAGGAGUGGACAUUUCUUAUUCGCCCCCUCCCCUACUGCCACCUGCAUUACAAUUAACCUCAUGGCAACCUUGAGGUCUCUGAUUAGUGAUGGCCUAUUGUCUCGAUCCCAUUAAUGCUCGGCCCCCACUCUGCCCUCAGCGCACUCACAUCAACAAAUCAAACCCAGUUUCCGCCAAGGGUCUUUCACCACACCGAGCUGGCCUUUGAUUUGGGACAGUUAACUAACGGGUGGCUGCGCAGGAGACCUGCAGAGAACUGCUGUCGGUACCUGUGAGGAGUAAGACUAAAACUGAAAUAAGGUUUGUAUUAUCAGACGGCCAAAGCCGCCAUAUUCAAUGUAAACAACAGCUGCAGGGGAUCAACAGAACGAGGACGGAACCUGGAAGAAUGCAACAGGAAAUGGAUACUUUCCUUUGCCUAAUUGAGAAGGAAUCCAAACAUUAUGCCAACCAGGAGAAGUGAAAAACAUGGAAGCGGAAGCACCCCAACAACUCAAAGCACGCCAGAUGUUGAGAUCCCCCCAAGGAGCAAACUGACACAUUAAACAUAACAUCAUCUCAUGCACUGGAGUGCAAUCACAGCUUCUCUCCGGGGAGCUGUUGCACCAUGUGUUGCGGACACUGUUUAAAUCUCAAGAACUAGAAAACGAAUGCACCGCAGGCGGGGUCGGCCCGCGCAAAGAGUACUCCUGGGAGCUCCGAGUCAAGAGCAUCAGCUAUGUUUCUGUUUGUAUUAAGUUCAAAAAUCAACUCAGAGUGGUUAUAACUGAUCAUUGGGAAGAUUGACACCAUCACCAGUAGCACAGUCUUUCCUCUCGUUCCCCACUAGUUGUUCUUUCUCAAAUCACAACUCUCAGAUGGGACAAGGCCAAAAAUAUUCACAGAGUAUUAAUAACAAGAUAAUAAAUGCACCAUUUACCUAACAGAGAGGUGGCAACAUGUUUUGAAGAUCAUCAAACAGACGUUCUUCUUAUUAUAAGUAAAUAUAUAAUCAGAAUUAGUCAAAGUAGCUUCAAAACAUAAACAGUUGUGAGAUGUAAUGCAUAUUUAUCACUUUAAUGAUGAGAUCGAGUAGAAACCAGCUUGGUAGUUUUAGUCAAUGAACAGGACAAUUUCUUGUGCCAAUGUAGGAUUUGCGUGAUGAGGCAGUUAAGUCAAAAAAAAAGAAUUACAAUAAUGUCAUCUUUGCAAGGGAUUGUAAUUACUGCAAUUAUUAUACAGUAAUUAUUGUAAAUACUGAAUGUUUAGUAUUCAUGUGUGUGGAGGUAUGAUAAUGAACUGUGGAGUAAAGCAUUAUUUAUUUCAUCUUUUAGAUUGUUCAUCAAAGAGUUUAAAUGGUUAUCUGACCAUUCUGCUAUCCGCUGGUUCUGCUGAACAUUUCAGAGUUCAUGCUGUGGAUGUAUUAAGGGAUGUGAAUGCUGUGUUUCAUUCAUUCCAGUGAAAGCUGCUAAGCGGUUCACUACCAGAAUAGUUCAGAUUUGAGCGUUUUGUAAUAAUAUUUUAAAGAACACACAAUGGCUGAUAAAAAGACUAUUUAAAGAUAUAUUAUAUUAUUUAAGUAUUUGUGAAACUAAGAUUUUUUCAUUUUUUCCAAUUUAGCAAUUGCUUUGAAAUAAACUGUGUAUGAGCCAGUAUUGUCCUGCAAUCCCAAAUGUGACCAUUGUGUUAGGUAUGACUCACAUAUCAGCCCUGUCCCUAUAGGCUUUAGCCUUAAGUAGCCUUUAAUAGCCUUCAGUAGUCUUCAGUAGCCUUUAGUAGACUGUAGUUGUCUUUAGUAGCUAUCAGUUGGCUUUAGUACCCAUCAGUAGUCUAGUAGCCUUUAUAGCCUUCAGUAGUCUAGUAGCCUUUAGUACCCAUCAGUAGUCUAGUAGCCUUUAGUAGCCUUCAGUAGUCUAGUAGCCUUUAGUAACCUUUAGUCUUUAGAAGUCUUUAGUAGCCUUUAGUAGCCUUCAGUAGUCUUCAGUAGCCUUUAGUAGACAGUAGUUGUCUUUAGUAGCUAUCGGUUGGCUUUAGUACCCAUCAGUAGUCUAGUAGCCUUUAGUAACCUUUAGUCUUUAGUAGCCUUUAGUAGCCUUCAGUAGUCUUCAGUAGUCUUUAGUAGCCUUUAGUAGACUGUAGUUGUCUUUAGUUGUCUUCAGUAGCUAUUGGCUGGCCUUUAGUACCCAUCAGUAGUCUAGUAGCCUUUAGUAGCCUUUAGUCUUUAGAAGUCUUUAGUAGCCUUUAGUAGCCUUCAGUAGUCUUCAGUAGUCUUUAGUAGCCUUUAGUAGACUGUAGUUGUCUUUAGUUGUCUUCAGUAGCUAUUGGCUGGCCUUUAGUACCCAUCAGUAGUCUAGUAACCUUUAGUAGCCUUUAGUCUUUAGAAGUCUUUAAUAGCCUAUAGUAGACUUUAGUAGUCUUUAGUGCACCGCCUGUUUGUUCCAGUGAACACACGUAGGGGGAAGCCCACUAGCGUGAAGCUGGAGCUUCAUCUUUGUGACGAGCGAAAGAGAAGGGACAGAGCGUCUGUCAGUAGCACCUGGCCGCCAGUAACACAGAACCUUGUUAUUAUUAUUAUUGGGACAAAUAUACACUUGUCUGUUAAAAACAAAUAUAAAUGUGUUCAAAAGAAAUCAAAGAUGUGCAACAUAUGAAACUGAUAGUGAUCUGAUUAGUAACAUUUGUGAAUAAAACGUUGAGAAACUUCUAAAGAGACCACAGACAAAGCUAACAGAGGGAGUAUAAUAUGGAGCUUAUUUUUUUGCUGUAAUUGCGUACUUUGAAUUUUGUAGCUGGAAAAUUAGCAUCAGCUUUCUUGGAUCUUCCGCUGGAUUCAUUUGUUUUAUGCUGGCACUAAUGGCCAUUCGGGCUCCGCAGAUAGACUCUGGGGGACGAAAGGGGUCAAUUUAUUCCAACUUAAAAGAAAAUAUUGGUGUUUCUGAGCUUUCUGCUCGUCUCUUUCAUUGUUAGCUCAAAGCCACUUAGACUGUUAUUCAAUCUGUGCAGCGUGUCAUUAAAUGAGCAAUUCAAUACCACAUUUAUCUCUUACUGUUUGGUUUUCCAACAAGUAUCCUCAGAAUCAUCACACACCCUGGAUGAUCCGAUGAGAUGAUUCAUUAAAGCAAAAUUGUGUAGCCUGUUCUCAGGUUAAUAGCAACUUCACAGUUUAUAUUGUUUAUUUUAUCUUCAUCAACGCCUAGGUCAGGCUUGAAUUGAUGAAGAAUGAGUGUUAGGGUUUUUUUGCCUAUUAAGUAUUUAAUCCAUCCUGGCCCAGGUGUGUCGCUCUGUCCAGCUAAGCAAUACAGCAGUUACACCAAUUAUGGGCUGUCCAGUGUGCAGGUGGCGGGGAAGCUUUUGGGGCACACCUGCCAGCUGAUUCAACCAUUAGACCACGUACCACACUGUCUACACCCCUUCUCCCCCUCGGGACGGCCCUCGCCAUGCAGGUGCAGAGACGGAGGAACCAUGAUGGAUUACACCUGAUUUAGCAAAUCCUCCAAUACCUCGUUCACUCUGUGGGAAUGAGACAACUGGAUGCAUAUGUUCUUUACAUUGCCUGAACCAUUUUUUCAUGGUUUUCGAAUUUUGACUCUGACUCUUUGACUGUUGGAAGGUGUAGUGAGCUCUGCCUCCAGUCUGUAAAAUGUGAAAAACUGGACACUCUUGACUUUUUCUCUCAACUUGAAAACAUGUUUUCUACUCCCACUGCAAAAAGGUCCAUUGGCCAAAGAGCUGCCACAUUGCUUUCAUGGCUUCACCCGGCAACCAUGAUACACCUAACAGCACACUCUGACAGCUUUAAGGCCCCGCCAAUGGCCCCACCCAAAAAAACACAAGAUUAAUAGAAACAGAAUGUAAAAGUCUCCAUCCACUCAUAGCAUAGCUGGUUUUAGUUUAAACGUCUGAUUUGACGUAUCAUCAUUUUUGUUUCAAAGCUUACGAAUCGGUUUUAUGUGUAUGGGAUGCAAAAUGCCAAGUGGACAUUUCAUAGAGGAAAGUAUGAUCAAUUACUGUGUUUUCUGAACUGGACAGCUUUUCGAGAUUAAAAAUGUUUGAUAACCUUUUUUCCAACGUAACCAAUCUAAUUUGUCACGAAUGAAAGCGAACACCAGAAACCUCACAUACCGCUGGAAUUCAGGACUAGAAUUCGAGGGUGUCCCAUUAAUAUUCUGAGAGGAAUGCUCAGGCCUGUUGUUAUCUUCCAAAAGAUUCAUCAACGCUGGUAGUUAUUGCCCAGACCCCCCAUGGUCGCAAUUCUUUAUCCUUGCCAUCUCGGUAAACUGCAUUAUUUAGUUAAAAGAUGUAAUUUUAUUCCCCUCACACAAUCUGCCCGACUCCAGGCUGACCGAAAGCAGCCGCACGUAAGUGGGUUUGCACAAAUAACGGCUUAGUCUUUUUCUGUUACAGAUUCAAGAUCCCAAAUCCAGAUGAAAGCCCUGCCCGGAUCUUACGCGAGAAGGGAUUACAGUUUGGUUGCACUCAAGAGUCUGAUAGAUAUUACUAUUACUAACUAUUAAUUCCUUUAGAUGUAUGUAAAUCCUUUGUUUAGCAUGUUUCCGUAUGGUGAAACACAAAGAUGACACAUUACAUCAAACUACGUGUUGAUUUAUUUCAACUGCACAAUUGGUCUCGUCCUUUAAAACGCACACGAGCAUCAGAACAUAAAUCGACACAAAAGACCAACAAGGGGGUUCAAACACAAAACAGGAGCAUUUGCAUUUGAUUUAGUUCACAUGUAAAUGAAUCAUUUAGCUCUUUGCGGCGCUGUUACACACUGCUGUACUGUUUGCAGACGAGCAACUUGUUUUCAUGCUCAUCAUCUCGGCAAUUCAGAGUGGUGUUUUAAUCGAGCCUGUAAACAAAAUGAUCAUUAACCAGCAAUGCAAGGAAAGCGUUUUGUCUUGGUAAAAUAUUACACCAGGUGAGGCUGCGUGUCUUGACAGGUCGCCAUUUCCCAGCCAUAAUUUUGCUCUCUUUGGGGGGGGGGGCAACUCCCAGCCCGGCGGCCCGACAAUUACAU
ensembl:lncRNA